CACGGAGGAUGCAAGUGUUAUCCGGAAUCACUGGGCGUAAAGCGUCUGUAGGUUGUUUAAAAAGUCUGCAGUUAAAGGUUGAAGCUUAACUUCAAAAAUGCCGUAGAAACUUUUAAACUAGAGGAUGGUAGGGGUAGAGGAAAUUUCCAGUGGAGCGGUGAAAUGUGUAGAUAUUGGGAAGAACACCGGUGGCGAAGGCGGCGACCUGGUCCGAUACUGACGCUGAGGCGCGAAAGCGUGGGGAGCAAACAGG
rnacentral:rRNA from 1 species